UACGUAGGUGACAAGCGUUGUCCGGAUUUACUGGGCGUAAAGAGCGCGCAGGCGGUCGUCAAGUCGAGUGUGAAAGCCCCCGGCUCAACUGGGGAGGGUCACUCGAUACUGAUCGACUCGAAGGCAGGAGAGGGAAGUGGAAUUCCCGGUGUAGGUGGUGAAAUGCGUAGAUAUCGGGAGGAACACCAGUGGCGAAGGCGGACUUCCUGGCCCUGUUCUUGACGCUGAGGCGCGAAAGCUAGGGGAGCAAACGGG
rnacentral:rRNA from 1 species